rnacentral:rRNA from 1 species
GACGAACGCUGGCGGCGUGCUUAACACAUGCAAGUCGAACGGUGAAGCGCCUUCUUUUUUGGCGGGUGUGGAUGAGGGGCGAACGGGUGAGUAACACGUGAGUAACCUGCCCCCUUCUGCUGGAUAACCGCAUGAAAGUGUGGCUAAUACGGGAUAUUCUGGGUCUGUCGCAUGAUGGGUCUGGGAAAGAUUUUGUUUCGGUGGGGGAUGGUCUCGCGGCCUAUCAGGUUGUUGGUGGGGUGAGGGACUACCAAGGCGAUGAGGGGUAGCCGGCCUGGGAGGGUCGACGGCAACAGAGGGACUGCGAGGCGGCGCAGACUCCUACGGGAAGCAGCAGUGGAGAAUACGGAACAGUGGGCAGCAGGCUGGUGCAGCGCCGCCGGGUGAGUGAUGGUCUCCUUCGCGUAGUGAACCUCUUUCGGGGGUGAAGCAGGGCUGACUUGUUUGUGCGUGGGUUGACGGUAGCUGAACAGGAAGCGCCGGCUAACUACGUG